AAGGCUUGCGGUGGAUACCUAGGCACCCAGAGACGAGGAAGGGCGUAGCAAGCGACGAAAUGCUUCGGGGAGUUGAAAAUAAGCAUAGAUCCGGAGAUUCCCAAAUAGGUCAACCUUUUAAACUGCCUGCUGAAUCCAUGAGCAGGCAAGAGACA
rnacentral:rRNA from 1 species